rnacentral:rRNA from 1 species
CAGUCGCCGCGGUAAUACGGAGGGAGCUAGCGUUGUUCGGAAUUACUGGGCGUAAAGCGCACGUAGGCGGUUAUUCAAGUCAGAGGUGAAAGCCCGGGGCUCAACCCCGGAACUGCCUUUGAAACUAGAUGACUGGAAUCUUGGAGAGGUCAGUGGAAUUCCGAGUGUAGAGGUGAAAUUCGUAGAUAUUCGGAAGAACACCAGUGGCGAAGGCGACUGACUGGACAAGUAUUGACGCUGAGGUGCGAAAGCGUGGGGAGCAAACAGGAUUAGAUACCCCGGUAGUCCCUGUCUCUUAUAC